AUGUUGAAUGCUGAAAGGAAGUGCAGGUUGUUCAAUGCAGCUGGUAUUGCACCAAUGAGAUUGUUGCUAGAGAAGUCCAGUACGUGCAGGUUUGUGAGAUUGCAUACAGAUAUUGGGAUCUGUCCUGUUAGGGCAUUGAAGCUCAAAUUGAGGGAAAGAAGGGAUUUCAGCUGGCCGGCAGGGAUCUCACCAGUUAAUUUAUUGUCGCUUAGAUCCAGCACUUCGGCGAAAGCAAUGGGUAUGCGGUACUGA
rnacentral:rRNA from 1 species